rnacentral:rRNA from 1 species
CUCGCCUAUAUGAAGUCGGAAUUGCUAGUAAUCGCGGAUCAGCAUGCCGCGGUGAAUACGUUCCCGGGCCUUGUACACACCGCCCGUCACACCAUGGGAGUCGGGAAUGCCCGAAGCCGGUGACCUAACCGAAAGGAAGGAGCCGUCGAAGGCAGGUCUGAUAACUGGGGUGAAGUCGUAACAAGGUACC